GAGAAAACGGAAAAAGCUAUCUAGCUUAUUUUUUAAUAGUUUUAAAGAUUUCUCAAAUUUUAAUUAUUUGAAAGAUUAUAAAUCAAGCUUUAUUUUAUGCAUUAGAAUGCUUUUACGAAAUUUAAACCUUCAAUUGCUUAUCCACCUCCAUAAAAAUUCUUGCGACUUGUUGUUUUACAAAUGGCGGGUGGAUUAUUAAUAUAUUCAACUUUAUGGAAGUUUUCCAAUGAUUAGCAAAAUUAUGAUGUUCAUAUAGCCAUAUUAGUCAUGAGUAGAUGUCAGCAUAACUAUUGGAACAAGAUGUUUGAUACUCAAUUUGUAUGCUUGCCUGUCGGAGUGGUUUCAUCGGAGGAGACAUCUCCAAUAGCAGAAAGCAGAAAACCCCGCGUGGAUGUGCAUGCACAAAAAAUACCGGGAAACAGAAUUCCACCAUUUUACAAUGUGACGGAUGAAGUGACGGGAUUGAAAUACGGGUCGAAAGUCCUUGGUAAAAAUAUGCCGUUAUGGACGUCAAAAUUGCCACCGAGAAGAAUGUAGGUGAAAAUCAUCUCACAAACCAACAACGACGAUAUUUUGCUAUUUCUGGCAUGCGCAGAUGGCCAGACAGUCGUACAUCAUCAAUGGAGCUUAUCCGUUCCGUAUGCUGGAGAUCAACUGCACAAUUUCGAUUAAGGCCGCCACUUGUUACAGGUCUUCUAACGUGUUUUUGAUUGAGAUUAAGUUCAAUGAUAUUUAAAUAUAAGUUUUGAAAAUA